rnacentral:rRNA from 1 species
UACGUAGGGUGCAAGCGUUGUCCGGAAUUAUUGGGCGUAAAGAGCUCGUAGGCGGUCUGUCGCGUCGGCUGUGAAAACUCGGGGCUCAACUCCGAGCUUGCAGUCGAUACGGGCAGGCUAGAGUUCGGCAGGGGAGACUGGAAUUCCUGGUGUAGCGGUGAAAUGCGCAGAUAUCAGGAGGAACACCGGUGGCGAAGGCGGAUCUCUGGGCCAUUACUGACGCUGAGGAGCGAAAGCGUGGGGAGCGAACAGG